AGAACUAUAAACUGACUACCCAGCUCCCUGGCCCAGGAAGGCUAUGAAACAGGCAACAUGGACAAUUUAAAGGUGUACAACAUCCGAGGUUCCAUUUCACCCUCAGGCAGCCCAGAGUGGAAAAGAGAUGGGGUCUCACUUUGUCACCUAGGCUGGUCUCAAACUCUUGGAUUCAAGCAGUCUUCUCACGUUGGUCUCCCAAAGUGCUGGGAGUACAGGCAUGAGCCACUGUACCUGACUGACUGUUCCUAUUUCUAGUAUCAGCAUGAAGAACACGAGAAAGUCAGCUUCAAAGGCAUCCAGCAAUAUCAUCUAUUCUUCACUUUGCUAAAUGUUAUCCUUGGCAGAGUCUUCAUAAAUAAGAUUGGUACCCAAAUAAAGGAAGCCCCAGAGGGCUACCUUGACCCUUCUACCAUGUGAAGACACAACAACAAGGUACUGUCUAUGAACCAGGAAAUGGGCCCUCACCAGACACCUAAUCUGCUGGUGCCUUGAUCUUGGACGUAUCAGCUUCUAGAAUGCUGGGAACUAAGUUUCUAUUGUUUAUAAGCUACCCAGUUUACACUGUUUUGUUAUAGCAGCUCAAAAACACACCAUUUCAAGAUUCUGCAUUCAUUUACUCAUUCAUAUAUUCAACCAUAUUUUAUUGGGCACCGAUGAUGCCAGGCACUACUCUAGGUGCUCAGGAUACAAUAAUUAACAAGGCAGACAAUACUUCUGGCUUCAUGGAGACAAACUGUGUUGAUGAACAGGAAGUAGACAGAGUGGUCACAGAAGGCUGGAGGAGAACACAGUUGACCAGAGAUCUAGAUCUGAUGGAAGUGAGAAAGCAAACUAUGAGAAUAUCUGAAAAAAAGAGCAUUCCAGGCAGAGGAAUGAGCAAGUGGCAAAGAUCCUCAAAUGCCUACACAUCCAUGGGAGAAGGCCAGUGAGUGAGGAAAAGAGAGGUAGCAAAGGGGAUCAGAGAGGAUGCAGGGAUCCAGAUCCCAGAGGGACUUUUAGGAAUGGCCAACACUUUGGACUUUAUGUUUUCAGAGUGAUAGAAAGUAUCUCCUUAUAGCCUUUCCCAGCCCCUAACUAAGCCUCUAUUGAUUCCUUCUCCUUCUUGUGUUCUUAUCACCUGUACUUUUAUUUACCAGUUAGUCUAUAUUCCACGAAUUUCUGUUCAUCUCUUGUGUAUCAGUUCUAUGUCCUCAGCUAUGUCUCAAUGGCAAGAAUCAGUCAUAUUCUCCUCUGUAUUCCCAGGGCCUGGCACCUAAGAGAUGCUCAAUAAAUCUUUCUGGAAAGUGAUAAUGAUGAUGGAAUCUCUUAGAAUCUUUUCUAGCUGUAAGAUCUAUGAUGCCUUUGAACCCUCUCAACAAACUAGUUUGCACAAUGACUCAGAGGACUGACAUCUUUCUAGAUAUUUUAAGAUUAUAUUCACGCCACUUUUAGAGUCUCCAUCCAUCAAAUGACUAGAAUGAAUUACAUUAGAGUUUUGUUUAAACGAAGGCUGUCACUUUGGAAUGGGAUUCCCUUACAUGCAACUACCUACUAAUAUUUGCACUUUAAGCCACCUGAACCUCAGGAGAGUAAUAAAUUGCUAUUAAAUAAAUGCU